AAAUUGAAGAGUUUGAUCAUGGCUCAGAUUGAACGCUGGCGGCAGGCCUAACACAUGCAAGUCGAACGGUAACAGGAAGCAGCUUGCUGCUUUGCUGACGAGUGGCGGACGGGUGAGUAAUGUCUGGGAAACUGCCUGAUGGAGGGGGAUAACUACUGGAAACGGUAGCUAAUACCGCAUAACGUCGCAAGACCAAAGAGGGGGACCUUCGGGCCUCUUGCCAUCGGAUGUGCCCAGAUGGGAUUAGCUAGUAGGUGGGGUAACGGCUCACCUAGGCGACGAUCCCUAGCUGGUCUGAGAGGAUGACCAGCCACACUGGAACUGAGACACGGUCCAGACUCCUACGGGAGGCAGCAGUGGGGAAUAUUGCACAAUGGGCGCAAGCCUGAUGCAGCCAUGCCGCGUGUAUGAAGAAGGCCUUCGGGUUGUAAAGUACUUUCAGCGGGGAGGAAGGGAGUAAAGUUAAU
rnacentral:rRNA from 1 species